rnacentral:snRNA from 1 species
GGAUCUGAGGGCGAUCUGGCAGGGACACCUGUCACCCCAUUGAUCGCCAGGGUUGAUUCGGCUGAUCUGGCUGGCUAGGCCGGUGUCCCCUUCCUCCCUCACCACUCCACGUGCAUCCCUCCCGAAGCUGCAUGCUCAGUUGAAGAGGACAAGCACCCCGACAGAGGAGGACCGGCUUUUGGUCAAGGGUAUACGAGUAGCUGCACCUCCCUGCUGGAAGCUCCAGACAAGCUCUACUAAAAAUAUAAAAAUCAGCUGGUCAUGGCGGCGUGCACCUGUCAUAAUAGC